ACUCCUACGGGAGGCAGCAGUGGGGAAUUUUGCGCAAUGGGGGAAACCCUGACGCAGCAACGCCGCGUGAGUGAUGAAGGCCUUCGGGUCGUAAAGCUCUGUCAGAGGGAAAGAAGUGCAGUGGUGCCAAUACCAUCAUUGCUUGACGGUACCCUCAAAGGAAGCACCGGCUAACUCCGUGCCAGCAGCCGCGGUAAUACGGAGGGUGCGAGCGUUGUUCGGAAUUAUUGGGCGUAAAGCGCGUGUAGGCGGUUUUUUAAGUCUGAUGUGAAAGCCCCGGGCUCAACCUGGGAAGUGCAUUGGAAACUGGGAGACUUGAAUACGGGAGAGGGUAGUGGAAUUCCUAGUGUAGGAGUGAAAUCCGUAGAUAUUAGGAGGAACACCGGUGGCGAAGGCGGCUACCUGGACCGAUAUUGACGCUGAGACGCGAAAGCGUGGGGAGCAAACAGGAUUAGAUACCCUGGUAGUCCACGCCGUAAACGAUGAGUACUAGGUGUUGCGGGUAUUGACCCCUGCAGUGCCGCAGCUAACGCAUUAUGUACUCCGCCUGGGAAGUACGGUCGCAAGACUAAAACUCAAAUGAAUUGACGG
rnacentral:rRNA from 1 species